GGGCCCAUAGCUCAGCUGGAAGAGCCACCGGCUCAUAACCGGUCGGUCCCUGGUUCGAAUCCAGGUGGGCCCA
rnacentral:tRNA from 3 species